AUUCAUCACUCAUCUUUCCUGCUCCAUCGUGUUGUGCUCUGUGAAGAUUCUUUUUCUCCAUUUUUGUUGAACUAGGUUUUGAUUUUCUCUUUGUUAGCAGAAAUUGGGGCAAUCGAAGAUUCUAGAAUCUCGAUCGUGGUUUUCUCCAGAAGCUAUGGAGAUUCGACGUGGUGGUUGAAGGAAUUGGAGAAGAUAAUGAAGUGUGGGAGCAGCAAGGGUCAGAAGGUUAUGCUGGUGUUCUACGGUGUUAAUCCGUCGGAAGCUGGGAUGGCGUUCGCAUACGGGAACCGCUCAAGGAAGCUGCUUGUCUUUCGAGUUUUGUUACAUAUAUCAGUAGGAUGCUACAGAGUAUAAAAGAAGGGUCAGGCAGUAGGCAAAGCAAUAGCCACCAAUAAUCUAGUGAUACCACAACUCACCUUAGGAACUAUUUUUGCAUCAUAUAUGCUCUCAUGCACUAUAGCUUGAAACUGUUCUGUCAUCUAUGAUUGUUGGCUAUAAUAUUUUGCAUACACUAUGGUAUUUCCUAUAUAUGUUUACUUUUCGAUUUGGAUUAAGUGUUAAUAUAUAAACAAUGUGGAAACAACAAAAGAAGACAUGUUGGUGGCAUGUGCCUGAUGUUUGCUGAUGCAUUUCUAUAUGAAUCAAUAACAGUUCGGGUGAAUGAAUUGCAUGUGUCUCCUUUGAUUUCUUUGUUAUUCGAUUUUUUUAGGUGAAUGAAUUGCAUACACAAUGAGAAUAAUAUAUUUUCUUUUUUUAUUUCCUUGACUCUUUUUACUUUAUAGUAAAAAAUUAAUUUGCAUAUAGACAAUUACUUGAGAAGGAAAAAUGCACAAUAUAAAAGCAUAUAGAUAUCCACUACUAGUUAUCCCAAAAGUACUAUUUUUAAGAAAUUUACAUUGGUAGUAUUUCAUGCCUUUGCAACUAGUAUUAUGUAUAAGAACAAAACUGAAGUUAAUUGUGAAUGUUGUCUUUGGUUGAGAUUGAUAUUGCUACCAACCGCUUAAUAAAAUCUGAUGAUAAUGUGUUGGUUAGUUUAGGUUGCUUAAGUGAUUGGACUUUCCAGAAAUGAAGUUUAGCUUAUACUUAUGGGUUAUGAGGUAUGUGAAAUGCUAUUUUUCUGCACCUCUUUACUACUAAAAAUUUGAUUGCAUACUUGCAAGAAAUGAAAUAGCACACUGGAUUUGCAAAUAUGCAUUUAGUUAUUAUAUUCAUGGAUAUGUUCCUGAUCUUAUUUUAUAUCUUGUUUAGAAUACGGUAGAAGCUCCUGGUAAUCCAGAGAUUUUGCAAAAAAAAUUAGCCUUUAUUUUACACAAAUAAUUUUAUAUAAUUUUUUUUAUUUUCUCUAUAUGAUCAUCAGUUGUAGUUGGAGUGGUUGAUGGCAUUGAUGUCAUCACCUCCUUCUGUCUUUUCCCCUACUGAAAGGAGAAAUUAUUAGUUCACAUGGUGGCAUAGUGGGGUUAGGAUUGUUUUCUUAGGACUCUUACCCUCGGCUUCAAUUAUAUAAAUAUCAUGCGCCCCUCGUUUUCCUUAAUGGGGAAAAGUUCCUCUCAUCCCCUUUCCUAAUUUUAAUUUGCUUCCCUAACUUCAUACUCUCUAGUAAUAAUUUAAGGCCUAUAUACAAAAUCUAUAUCAUGCUAUAUGCUAUAUUUAAUUUCAUACUUAUUUUUUAAACUCACGUGUUUCCUAGAAGUAAACUUUAAGUUCUUCUAAAAUCGUAGGUCUACCAUAUGUAUGGCAAACCUUGCUGGUAUAUAUUGAAUAUUGAUCAAUUAAUUAUUGUUCUUAAAAUAAUCACUAUAUUUUAACUAUAGUUUCUUAAUAAUCUUUAAUUUUGCAAUACUUUUUUUUUGCAAAAAAGUAAUUUUAUACUAUUAAAUAUAAUUUUAUACAAUUAAUAUUUAAUAAUAACUAAUUAAUGAUUAUAAAUUAUAAAAUUGUUGGUUUUUUAGUAAUCCGCGUUUUAUAUAUUUUGAUGAUGACGACACAUAUGCUAUGCACGCGUCUGCAAGCCUUAAAAUGCUACUUUGCUCAUUAAGUCAAUAAUAUUAAUAUACUCUCCGCCCAAAUAUCAUAGCUCGGUCAAAGCCUAGCUAUACCCAAGUUAGCUAUACAAAAAUUCUAAGCUAUAUAAUGUCUAGUACACGCGUUGAUUAUGAUGAUGAUUAACUUCUCUCAUUAACUUGGGUGAAACAACUUACUAUGUGUAAUUAUAUAUACAUACUUUUCUUACUGAAAUAAUUAAACAAUUGUCACAUGCGAGGGAAAUGUAAAAAUUAAAGCAGCCAGAUAGUGAAUGCCUAUUUUCGAAUAUCUUGUAAAAAUGUUGUUAAACGUUGAAAAAGCAUAACACAGGUAGCACUUGUUAUUUUUGUAUUCUAUGAAAGAAUUAGUGAUAAUAGAAGAUCUAAUUUCUUUGGUUUCUAGGCUUUUGAUAAAGUAUUAUUAAGUUUUGUGAUAAUAGAAGAUCUGUUGAUUUCAUAUGUGCUACUCCAGCUUCAUCAAGAUUUGCCAAUAAUAACAAUAAUAAUGAUGCACUAGUUCCAGCAAUUAAGAAUAUCAAUAGGCCUAGCAUGGUGGUGAAUGUGAAGGUCUUGAAGAAGCUAUUCUCUGUUAACAACUAUCAAAAGAAACCAAGAAGGAGAGUAAGAUAAUUAUCCUUUUCCUAUGGUGAUUUAUGUGGUGAUUUAUGUCAAUCAGGUAUAAAAUUGAUCUUUUAUUCAGGUAUAAAAUUAGAAAGGCUUUUAUUAGUCUUUGGUGAGGGGAUUAAUCCAUAUCACUAGAAAGCUAUGCCUCUUCAAAUGAAAUGUAAAGAUAAAAGAGUAUUUGGAUAUGUAAGUUGGUCGCUUAAUCUUAGUUGUUAUAGAAGCGUUCUGUGGAUUUCAGAGUAUGCUAAGCUUUACUUUUAACCAUCAUGUCUACUCACUGGCAUAUAUCUCCACUGUCCAAGUUCAUGAGGUUAAGGAUAUCAUGAAAGACAGGUUUUAAACAUGACAUUGUUUUAUAAUUCACUAUGCUCAAGAAGCGCAAACUGAUGGUGAUCCUGAACUUCUGGAUGAUUCUGAAUUUUAUCAGCAAUUACUGAAAGAAUGUUUUGAGAUAGUUGAUCCUAAUUCAUUUGGUAAAACAUUGUGGCUGAAAAUCUUCACAUAUAGCUCUUUUUUCGGCCAGUGUUUUUAAUUUCCUAGCGGAAUAUUAUGCCCUUAAACUCUGUUCUUUAAUAGUCCAUGUCAAAUACCUCAUUUUCUGUUAUUUCACUUUUAUAGAGACAGCAUUUUAUGCGUUGAAGAGAAUGCAAAAAAAGAAACAAAAAAUUGUUGAUCGCUGUGC